rnacentral:rRNA from 1 species
AGCGUAGACGGUGUGGCAAGUCUGAUGUGAAAGGCAUGGGCUCAACCUGUGGACUGCAUUGGAAACUGUCAAUCUAGAGUACCGGAGGGGUAAGUGGAAUUCCUAGUGUAGCGGUGAAAUGCGUAGAUAUUAGGAGGAACACCAGUGGCGAAGGCGGCUUUCUGGACUGUAACUGACGCUGAGGCUGAAAGCCAGGGGGAGCGAACG